rnacentral:rRNA from 1 species
UACGGAGGGUGCGAGCGUUGUCCGGAAUCACUGGGCGUAAAGGGCGCGUAGGUGGCCUGUGGAAGUCUGCGGUGAAAGCCCGGCGCUCAACGCCGGGUCGGCCGUGGAUACUCUCGGGCUCGAGCUUACUAGAGGCAGAUGGAAUUCCGGGUGUAGCGGUGGAAUGCGUGGAGAUCCGGAAGAACACCGGUGGCGAAGGCGGUCUGCUGGGGUAAUGCUGACACUGAGAGACGAAAGCUAGGGGAGCGAAUGGG